rnacentral:rRNA from 1 species
GACGAACGCUGGCGGCGUGCUUAACACAUGCAAGUCGAGCGGUAAGGCCCUUUCGGGGGUACACGAGCGGCGAACGGGUGGGUAACACGUGGGUGACCUGCCCUCAGCUCUGGGAUAAGCCUGGGAAACCGGGUCUAAUACUGGAUAUGACUCCAUGACGCAUGUUGUGGGGUGGAAAGCCUUGUGCGGCUGAGGAUGGGCCCGCGGCCUAUCAGCUUGUCGGUGGGUGAUGGCCUACCAAGGCGA